rnacentral:rRNA from 1 species
UACGAAGGGGGCUAGCGUUGCUCGGAAUCACUGGGCGUAAAGGGUGCGUAGGCGGGUCUUUAAGUCAGGGGUGAAAUCCUGGAGCUCAACUCCAGAACUGCCUUUGAUACUGAGGAUCUUGAGUACGGGAGAGGUGAGUGGAACUGCGAGUGUAGAGGUGAAAUUCGUAGAUAUUCGCAAGAACACCAGUGGCGAAGGCGGCUCACUGGCCCGAUACUGACGCUGAGGCGCGAAAGCUAGGGGAGCGAACAGG